CGGCCUGGGUAAGUUUCCACCGAGACUCAGGCAGCCGGCUCAGGGGCAGGCACUGCCGAGCACGGGCCCCGCAGGGUCCUCGCGUGAGGGUGGCUGGAGACAGCACCAAGUAGCCCCCGGUGCCUUCGUUUCCUUGUUAAUCAUACACCUUGCACGAGGGCUGCCUGCGCAGCCGGGGCCCGGCUGUGGGUUCCCGGCCUGGUUCUUGGCAGAGCUGGUCCUUAACUACCUGUGGUCUCGGUUUUCCUGUCUGUAAAGGAACUUCUGCUCCAUUUUCGAGGCCCCUUGAAAGCUGACAGCCUCCAAGGCGCGGUGGCGCUGCACUCCGCCUGCCGCCGCGGCUCCUGCUUGUGGUGACACUUCUUCUGCAGCUGGCACAGCUGGAUCUCGAGGCUCUGGGAGGAGGGCGCUGGGUCACCUCGCAGCAGCGGACCCUCCCGGGCCUUGCCCCUGGGAUCACCCCCAAGGAGCCCUCUGGACAACGAAGGGAGUGGGGGGCACAGGGGCCCCUGGGGGAAAGGACCAGGUUCUGGGUGGCAGGGGCCAUUCAAGGCUCCAGGGGGGACGGGAAAAGGCCUGUCCAAGGGGUUGGAAUCCCAACUUGGCCCCUGGAGCCCCGUCUUCCUGCCUCGGCGGCCACCGGGAGGACGCUCCAUGCAAAGCCGGAGGCCUGCUGCACUCCAGGCGAGCCCGGGGCACAGGCUGUGGGCCCCGCUCCCUGCGCAGGCUGAGGUCAGGGGAGGCAGGGUGCCCUGGCCCGCGGGCGCUGCGGUUCAAGGCGCCAGGCCACGUGCUCGGAGCCUUGGUUUCUUCACCUCGGAAAGGGGAGAGGAGAGCUGGGACUAAGGCGCGACUUUUAAGAGGGCGCUCAAAACCUCAGUAAUGAAAAAGCAAAACGAAACAAAAAAUAAAAAACCUCGGUAAUCAAGAUAAAUAAUACCUUGAGGCGAUGUUUUAAAAAAUGUAAACCAAUACCAAAAAUAUCCAUGAUGAACACAACACCAACAUUUUUAAAUAAAGACGGGAUCUAACCCUGCACUUGCCACAAAUCGCCUUACUCCCCUCACCCUGCACCCAGCCCUGGGAAUAAAAGCACUCGCCUUGAGGUGCUGCGGUGAGAUUUAAAUGAGAUACAGCACAGAGAGUGCCUCUUCCAGAGCGCAGCAUUCCAAGGAAAACAGAACCCAUGGUGGGUACAAAAUUGUGUAUUUUUGCAGCGGUGUCACUAGGGGGCAGAGGUGCGCGUCGAGCAGGCGACAGUGGCCCCUGCUUCUUCCUUUCCCCCUCUGUGGUUCCAGGCGACAGCUGCAGUGGGCAUCUUUGGGAGCCAUGCCGUGGCCAGGACAGUUCCUCUGCUGGAAUGCCCCGCCCUCCUGGUGAAAAUUCUAUUUACACUAACUAAAAAAGGGUGGGCGGAGGAAAUGAAGUUUGGGGGCACUCACUACAAGAUGAGCAGUUUGGGGUUCAGCUCUCUUGGCACAACCCUCCCAGUUAGGUGUAUUGCCCUGUUGCCCCAUUUGACAGAUGAAGAAACCGAGGCUCAGAGAGGGUACAAACAUGCCCAGCGCCACACGGCUAGGUGGCAGCUGAGCUGGGAUUUGAACCCAGAACUUACGAGGUUUCUACCACACAGAAC
ensembl:lincRNA